ACUCUCCCGCAUCUGGGAGGUCACUGGGUGUGACACCAUCCUCGGGAAGUCAUGACCCCAUGGCUUCUGUCUUAGGAGGUUAACACAAAUUCUGCAGGUUCUGUAGCAGAGAAAAUGAAAAAGAGUGGAAUAGUGGUCUGAAGAUUUCAGAGGGAAAAUUGAGAAGGAAAGAACAGCCCAGAAAGGAAUCAACUAGAAUUUCCCAAGGCUGGAGUUCAUGCAAUAAACAUCACACCUCUGUUUUCGGAAUAUUAGUGGCCAGGCUCAUCUCAAGAAACUGGGGUUCUCUCUGCCCUCGGAGAACAAUGAUUUCUGGUUCCUUAAGAAGUAUGGAGUAUUGAUAACCUGUCUUUGUAAAAAUCCAUUUAAAAAAUUUACCUCUGCGGUAGCAAGCACCUUCUAUGUUCAAGACUUUUUUUCUUUUUAAACUUUAGAGCAAUCCGAAUCAUACAAAAGAAUAUGACACAUAACCAUGAAGCUGAAAGGAGAGAAGUCUGGUUUUGAGUAAGUAAGCAGCAGGUGGCCAUGGGCUCAGGUGUGAGCAAAGAUUCCAGCAAGUGGGCCUACCGUGUCUCAUGAGUGAGCAAAGAUCUGCAGUGAGAGAAGCCGCACGCCUUUUCAUCUGCUUGGUCCUUCCUGCCUUUUACUAGGUUGUAGCUCAAGAUAAAACGUGGAGCUAAAAAGUAGAGCCAGUGUACCCGAGUGGACUCCCGACCCCCCAACUCCGGAAGAAAACACUGUUGGAAAGGACAGGAAGUGAACCUCCUGCCUUGUGCCACAACUUCCAUCUCUACCCAAGCUUUGGCUUUCCUGAAGUUCUUCCCACUUACAGAAGCCACUGGUGGAAGGGACACCUCUUCCUCCUGGUGAGCUGGUGAGCUGGUGAGGGACCUGCAAACCCCUGGAGGCUGGCUCCAAGGGCUCUGUCUGCAAUCCUCACUUGCAGGAAUACUCAUUCCCUCCCCAGUGGAUCCCACCGAGUUCUGAGCCACUUUCCUGUCACUCCUCCUGCAGUAAAUACCACCCGAUAAUUGUGGAAGGAAGAAUUGCAAUGCUCAGUGCCAUCAAGCUCAGAUGCACUGCGGAGCUGAGGUGUGUGACCCUUGCACCUGGAAGAGGCUGGUAAUUUCUGAAACCAUGAACGUAGUUAGCACUUCUUGGAUCUCUUAGUUGUUUUAUAUAGUGAACUGAACUUUUUCAGGAGGCCUGGGUAGCUCAGUUGGUAGAGCAUCAGACUUUUAAUCUGAGGGUCCAGGGUUCAAGUCCCUGUUCAGGCGGUCCUGGGUACUUUUACUUCAGUUAAGUCUAUGUAAGUAGAGCUCAUUUAGAACAUCUCUAGAGUGGGACAUUGGUAACAGCCAGACCAAAGGCAUAUCCUUGAAGAGGUUUAUGUUCUAGUGUUUCAUUAAUUACCUCUACCCAAUAAUAACUGAAACUUGGGCCUGAGUUGCCAAGAGGAAUUGGAAAAGUGCAUAAUGUAAAAAUAAGACACAAGUGUUGGAAUUACCAAGGCGGCCAUUUUAAAGUUCCCUGACCUGAUUCAUUACUCUUGGAGUGGCAGGGGAGCAAUUUGGGGGAAACUGACAAGAAUUUCAGAAAGCAGUGACUCUGCCCAGUCUGUUCCCACAGUUUGGAUUGACUCUUCCUAUAUAGAAAAUGUGUAGCAUCUUAAAAGCCCCUGCUUGUAAAAGCCAUAAUAUGCAAACACAUUUUGAAAUGGUCUUAGCUGUCUUUUUUGUCUUUACAUUAACAAGUUUCUGUUGUUAUCCAGGGAUUUGGAUUAUGGUUAAAGACCCCGAUCCUGGGCUCCUAGUGCAUGGUUUCUGUGGGCAGAAUGUUAAACCAGGAGGCUGUGAAUUCAGUUUUUGUAAUUCUUUAUGCUUUUAGCCUGAUGAUAUGAAGUAUAAAUACUGCACUUAAGUUCA